ACAGGUUCUGCGAGUUGUUUGGGCCCACCACUUCUAUGCUGUGCUAACCAGAAUAACAGCUGUUUCAGGGGGUGUUACUGUGAUGAGAUCUGUGUGAAAUUGAAUGACUGCUGUACUGACUACAUUUCAGCCUGUAACCAAUCAGCAACCAAUAACACAUCUGCAAUGAGCACGACCCCAGCAACCACUGUCCCAUCAACACAUUCAUCCGUCUCUACUGAGCGAGCUACAGGAGCUAGCUCAGGAAGCAACAGUACUCCAACUCCAACAAAUCUCCCCACUUCAGCAUCCACAGUGUUGGUUCACCUAAGAGUUUCUGUUCUAUCCUACCAUGAGGACAAGCAACAAGCGAUUUCAGAGGUUUCAUUGUUUCUUCGGACACGUUUCCAGCAGAUUUGUCAUGGCUGCACAGUGAUGAUCAAUCCCACAUGAUAAAGAGCAUUUUCUUUGGGCAAUGAAUGCAUGAAUAUGACUAAGCCAGCA